GUCAGGAUGGCCGAGCGGUCUAAGGCGCCAGACUCAAGGUUUCACUCCUUCUCGGUUCAAAAACCGAGUUUUUCGGGCUUUCUGGUCCUCUCUGAGGGCGUGGGUUCGAAUCCCACUUCUGACA
rnacentral:tRNA from 1 species